CAACUGGAUAGCAUCAUAAAACAAAUAUCAGCUGUCAAGCUGUAGCUACUAGCCAGCUGUAGGGACGGCUAUAUUUAUCUUGUCCACAAAGAAUUUAUUUGUCCCAUUUUGCACAUAUCACAGAGACACAACAGACUGCAUUAAUGCCAUCUAGUCACUUUUUAUCUCCAUGUUGGAAUAAACGGCACACAUCAGACUUUAUGAUUCACUGAUAAAGAUUUAUACUGUUUAUUAAUAUUGGACUUUUGCUCCAGAUUAAUCAUUCCAAAGCUCAUGAAUGGAGUCAUAUUGCUUUGCUGGUUUACUCGGGGUGAGCGCCUCAGAGCCAAAGGUUCAUGCUCUAGAGGCUCUGGUGUCUGCACCAGUAGAGUCAGGGACAUUCAGGUAUUUUAUCUGCUGACACUUUAGCCUGAGUUUGUUUAGCCAAUUUCUGCCACACAGUGAUGAUCCAUUUCCCUUAGCAAUUAAAAGUGGAAAGUCCUCUGUUUGACCCUCAUAGACCACCAUGGCUGUGAUCCUCCCCAAAACCGGAACACGUGGUGAUUUUUCCCUUUGCAUCUGUAGCAGUUCUUAGUUCCCUGUGGCCUCACGUUGAGAACGCUUGCUGCCUCAACGUUUUCACUCUCCAUCCCUCUCAACUGACAUGUGUCUCUGUCGGCCGUCUUCGUGUUGAGAACAAUCUCAAAAGCUUUGGCAAAAGUGAGAUCAUUUUCAGAGAGUAGCCUCGUCUGAGAGGCUUUGUUUCUUAUUCCACUGACAAACCUUUCUUGUAGUGAUGAGUCUAUGUUUGCACCAAACUCACAAUUAGCUGCACAUUGCUUCAGCUCAGCUACAUACCGUUAGCCCACUGACUGGUUAGCCUAGUGGUUACACUAAUUAAAACAGAACCUUUCUGCUACCAAUAAACCUUUGGUUUGAAAUGUUCCUUGUGAAUGGCCACUAUUUUGUCAAAUGUUUUGUCUUUUGGCUUACUAGGCUGCACUAAAUUUCUCAAGAGUCCAUAGGUAGCUGCGCCCAUUACACUUAGCAACGUGGCUACUUGCUUCUCUACAGCUAUGUCGUUAGCUUGGAAGAACUGUUCCAGCCGUUCGAUGUACGCUGACUACUGCUCAUUUUCUGGCUUGAACUCAUCAAUUCCUCCAAACUCACUAGUACCAACACCUAGUGGAAAAUAUUAUUUUAAUAAUCGUCACCAGUUUCUGUUCUGUGAUGUAUUAACAAGGUGGAUGCAGAGGUAGCAUUCAUUCACUUUACCAGGCCAUAUUUCUCAUUACAGCUCAAUGCACAUGCAGCCCACUUACAACCGUAUUCAUAGAGGUCCAAAAAUAUAAGUGAACAUAUUAAUCGUACAACAAUUAUGUGAUCAACAUACCACAGUUUUUAUCAGCAAAAUCACUAUAUAAAUUCAAUAAUAUCUCACUUGAAAGAAAUAAAAAAUGUCAGCAAAAUAAAUAAUAAUCCUGUCAUUAAGAUACUGAGAAAAGUUUAGAAAGUAGACAAACACAGAACACAGACAUCAGUCAGUAUCAUCAUCCCGUCCUCCUCCUCCCCCCUCUGCUGCUGGUUGAGGGGAGGUGCUGUUUCAGCCAGUAGCUAAAUUUACAGGGAUUUGCCAAAUUUAAUACAUAUUACAAACUAAGCUAAACACAAACACUGACAAAUAGAGCAGAGGAGAGGACAGAGAAGCUAGCGUGACCAUAAAUGACAGCAAAAUGUGGUAGAGACUCAGCAUAGUUUCCCUGUGUGUCUACACAGGAGGCGUACAGGUACAGUGUUGAGCAUAGGUCACGUGUUUUAGGUUGCACGUUUCAAAGCACUCAGAGCCCAAUACACAAAUUUUACUGUAGUUAUGCAUGUAAAAUGGAGGAAGAUAGACUUAAAAAACAGGAAAACCCUGAAGUCUACUGAUGAAAUUGUGAAAAUGUGCAUUCGACUGUAAGAACUAAACUGACAUUAAAAACAGACACACACAAGAACACUUCAAUGCCCCCCUUUCAAAAAUGUUGCUUCCAGCGCACCCCAACUUUCUCUGAACGCCCCCUGCUCAGCACUAACAAACCAGGACCAGUUUUGAAAUCAUUUAGGUCUCUCUAAUAAUGUAGUUCAAUAUCUGAUGGCUUGUCCUUGACUUAUCAGUCUAAAGCCGUUACCCUCAUGCCAGCUGCAGUUAGUACAUGAACUAUGACGUACACUCAAGAAAAAAUAAACAUCUAUUCUGGCAGACACACUUUACAACUAUUAUGAACUCAUUUUUGUCCAACAGAAAAUGUAAACACUGAUACAAAACUAUUAACAAGCCCAGCCAUCAUUUAUGAUUAUGAUGACGCAAAACAGUGAACCUAUUCAAUCAUUUCCAUUCAAACUCCACAUCAUUUGUUUAUGUUACACUACAAAUAGCAAAACAGGUUUAUCGCUUAGUACAAAAAAAUUGUGCCUGAUGUCGCCAUAGGACUUUGUUUUUUUUCCUCCACCUAUGACAAAUGAUGAAUAUGUUUUCACAGGAGAAACCAUGACCUCUGCAUCAGUUAGCACAGCUCUGUGUGUGUACGAGGACAGGAGAGGUUACGUGUGUGUCUAGGCGUGUGUACUGGGCCAUGUGCUUGUGUGUAGAUGUUGAAAUAAUGCAGUGAAACCUGUCACUUGUUUUGAUUUCUUCGCUUUCUUUCCAAGUCUGCCUAUGAUUAACCAUACACUAUGUCUAUACAUUGUGCUUAUUGUGACAUUUAUAUUACUCCUUGUAUCAGUUUGGUGUGUAAAGCAUUAUUCCAAAUUGAAGUCAGGCCUCCUGUAGCGAUACAUUGAGGAGUGACAGCGAUGAGUCAGGGGGAGGGAGCUUGUGACUGUCAGCAGCAAACCUCCUGCAGUAAUCCCACAUCACCAUCGGAUUGCUUGUUCACAAGUUGUGUGCGGUCGCCAGAGGCCGCAGUGUUAAAGGUCAGAGAGUACAGAUAUAUCAUAGUGUGACCUCCAUCAAAUAGAGUGACCAUGAAAUCUGGACAAGGUGCAGUGUCAAGCAUCACUGGCCAGCUAAUCGUCAAAUUAUUCUGAGAGUGUGGUAUGCGGAGAUUGCUGGUUUUCUCUGAGGUCAUGGGAAGUAUUUUCAUGUCAAGGAAAUCUCUGCUGUUUAAAGAGAAAAUACAGAUAAUGUAGCCAUACAGGAUUCAACCUGGAGGUCACGUCUCACUGUACUUAUGCAGGCAGCUGAAACGAGCUGUAAGUAGAAUUUCAGGCUUUAUAUACCUGUUGGCCUUCAGGCAUGUUUAUAGCUCUUGGCUUUUAGUCAGUUUGAUGUGUAGUGUGUAGCCAAAAUAAGGGUUAACAGCUCUGCUGUUAAGAGCAGGUUGGGACGAGGACAAACAAUAAAGUCAUCAGAUGCUUUAUGGGAAUAAAAGGGGAUUUUUGCUUUUAGUGGGGUUGAAAUUUGCAAUUACAGCAGUGCUUUAGAAGGGAAAUCUUAACUGGAUAAAAACCAGAGCAGCUGCUGUAAUCAGAAACUGACAAGUUCAUACUUUAGCUGAGCAAAUAACUAUUCAUUUCAUUUCAGUUUUCCUUUCACCUGUAACCACUUUUGCUUUCAGGAAAUGUCAUCCGCCCCCAGUGAGUAACACAGACCCAAUUUCAAUUCCUAUAGAUAAACUGAAACAAUUACAGUCAUUACUACCAAUGUUAUUACAGUAAGACAAUCGUGUUAUUUCAUAUUUAUGUACCCUGUGCAUGGAGGACAUGUUAAACUCUGUUGUUAAGUAUCAAUAUACAGUUCAUACAUGACUUAUUACUGUGCUGAGUUUCUCCAUUUAGACAAAUGGCCCUGGAUGAAAAGGGACUCGGGGGAUCUCGCACUUCAGGGUCACCACUUCCACUAAAACCUAGAAGAACAAGCCAACACAAGGAUGACCCUUGACAUCGCAUGUCUUACAACAUUAAAGCCGGAGCAGCAGCAGAGAGGGUUAAAGUGUGGCCAUGACCCUGCUGAGGGAGUGCUUCUGGGUGGUCAAACGGGGUCACGGUUUCACAGAGGAGCAGCCAGAGGUUAGGCAGGAGUGACAGGAGACCAGCAUACAGGCAACACAUCCAUCCAACACCAGAGUGAAACAAGUCACUCCGACAAUGGUCAAGCUCUCAUCCAUCUUGUCUCAAUGGUCCACUUACUCCUGUUUGUGUAUGUUUCCCUCAUUCACCACUUCCUGUACUUCUGUGUGUGACACAUUUUCAGCUCAUUGGCUGCAUCAAGACACAUGAAACAUCUUUAGAGGCAUUUCUGCAUUUUUACUUGUGGAAUUGGAUCUUUGAUGUGCAUUUAAAAAUACACCUUAUGUUCACCUCUUUUCUGUUAUUUAGAUCAUAAAGCAUGAUGUUCUUUCACUUCUAGAGUCCAUCUGUUGACACUCAUAUCUUGUUAGCACAAUCAGCUAUGGAGACAGAGUAAUUAGAGAACUUUGUUCCUGUGUGUCCUCUCAUGAGUCUGAUGUGAUUUAUGUAUGUGACAGGUGUUUGUACAAAUAUACACACAAUCGGGGCGUGCCGUAUCUGUUAUCACCAUCAAGUCAAAGCCGUAUUGUUACCAAAGAGAACUUUUGCUCCCCUCUCAUUAGACCAACAAGUUUGCUGAUGCCAGAAUAAACCAUUGCUGAAUUAAUGUCAUCAGAUCUGUCGAUUCUCAUAACAUAGCAGAGCAUUACUUUUGUUAUGAAGUCAUUUAAAUUCAUGUUUCAUGGUCAACAUUCAGAGUACCCUGAGAGGAUUUAGUUGAACUGCUGCCCAUUGGAUAAUUAUGUUUAUUUAGUUGUUUAAUAAAAA